GGAUGGAUGUCUGAGCGGUUGAAAGAGUCGGUCUUGAAAGCCGAAGUAUUGAUAGGAAUACUGAUGGUUCGAAUCCCUCUCCAUCCG
rnacentral:tRNA from 1 species